rnacentral:rRNA from 1 species
CUACGGGAGGCUGCAGUGGGGAAUAUUGCACAAUGGGCGAAAGCCUGAUGCAGCGAUGCCGCGUGAGGGAAGAAGGUCUUCGGAUUGUAAACCUCUGUCAUAAGGGACGAUAAUGACGGUACCUUAGAAGGAAGCUCCGGCUAACUACGUGCCAGCAGCCGCGGUAAUACGUAGGGAGCAAGCGUUGUCCGGAAUUACUGGGUGUAAAGGGAGUGUAGGCGGGACUGCAAGUCAGAUGUGAAAACUAUCGGCUCAACUGAUAGACUGCAUUUGAAACUGUAGUUCUUGAGUGAAGUAGAGGUAAGCGGAAUUCCUAGUGUAGCGGUGAAAUGCGUAGAUAUUAGGAGGAACAUCAGUGGCAAAGGCGGCUUACUGGGCUUUAACUGACGCUGAGGCUCGAAAGCGUGGGGAGCAAACAGGAUUAGAUACCCCCGUAGUC